CUUCCAAAACCGCGCUCAGAAGACUAACCUUCACUCUCAAACUUGACCUGAGAAACACCACCUCCGUCGCUCCGGAUAUUGCCUCCGGCGGCGGCGGAAGUCCAAUUCCCACCAAACUUAUACCAUUCAGUUCGUCUCAGAGUCUUCUACACAAAUAUACCAUCAAUUCUUCCUAAUUCGUGCCCUAACCUCUAAACCGAAACAUUUACCUCAAGAACCCUAAUUACAAAAUCUUCAAAUUAAAUCUCAUCUUCAUUACAUAAUUCUAGGGAUUUAGGAGAGUUAGUUAGAGUUGAAAAUUCUGUUAGGUUAGUUAUGUUUUGAUUUCUAUUACUCGAAUUCUGUUAGUUCAAGGGACUUGAGAAGUUAGUUAUGUGAGAUUCAAAAUUGUUACUUGUGUCUGCUAUCAAGUUUUGUUAGUAGUUAGAUUCUUGAACUGAGCAGUUGCGAUUGAAUUGUUGAUGCAAGUUGUUAUGGUUCAUGAAGCAAUUUUCAAGAAUUUUACCAAAGCUUGGGAUGACACCAUGGCUAACAUGGAAUCAAGUCAAAGCUUAGUGAACAAACUUCAAUAACUUGGAUGAACAAAGAAAGAAUAACUUGAUACAUGAAGAAGAAAUGAAGAUUAGGGUUUAGGAUUAUGUAGUUAACUUUGGUCAACAGUUGGUCAAAAAGUCAAUAGUUGACCAAAAGUCAACCUAGGUAAAAAAAUAGGGUUUUCUUGACGUAAUUGUAUGGACUUGUAAUGGAUACUUAAAAAGUACAUUUGAUGAUUUUAUAAUAAAAUGGCUCUUUUGAAAUGAAAA